AGCAGCCGCGGUAAUUCCAGCUCCAAUAGCGUAUAUUAAAGUUGUUGCAGUUAAAAAGCUCGUAGUUGAAUUUCGGGGUUCUACCGUUGGUCGGGCAAUUGUCUGUACUGGCGUGUGGAAUUUCUACCUUCUGGGGAACCAUCAUGUUAUUAAUUUAGCGUGGUGGGAAACCAGGACCUUUACCUUGAAAAAAUUAGAGUGUUCAAAGCAGGCUUACGUCUGAAUACAUUAGCAUGGAAUAAUAAAAUAGGACGGUGGUCCUGUUUUGUUGGUUUCUGAAUCACCGUAAUGAUUAAUAGGGAUAGUUGGGGGCAUUAGUAUUCAAUUGUCAGAGGUGAAAUUCUUGGAUUUAUUGAAGACUAACUUCUGCGAAAGCAUUUGCCAAGGAUGUUUUCAUUAAUCAAGAACGAAAGUUAGGGGAUCGAAGACGAUCAGAUACCGUCGUAGUCU
rnacentral:rRNA from 2 species